AGAGUUUGAUCCUGGCUCAGGACGAACGCUGGCGGCGUGCUUAACACAUGCAAGUCGAACGCUGAAGCUCAGCUUUUGUUGGGUGGAUGAGUGGCGAACGGGUGAGUAACACGUGAGUAACCUGCCCUCUUCUUUGGGAUAACGCCCGGAAACGGGUGCUAAUACUGGAUAUUCACUGAUCUUCGCAUGGGGGUUGGUGGAAAGGUUUGUUCUGGUGGGGGAUGGGCUCGCGGCCUAUCAGCUUGUUGGUGGGGUGAUGGCCUACCAAGGCUUUGACGGGUAGCCGGCCUGAGAGGGUGACCGGUCACAUUGGGACUGAGAUACGGCCCAGACUCCUACGAGAGGCAGCAGUGGGGAAUAUUGCACAAUGGGCGAAAGCCUGAUGCAGCGACGCCGCGUGAGGGAUGGAGGCCUUCGGGUUGUAAACCUCUUUCGCUCAUGGUCAAGCCGCGACGUGGGUUGUGGUGAGGGUAGUGGGUAAAGAAGCGCCGGCUAACUACGUGCCAGCAGCCGCGGUAAUACGUAGGGCGCGAGCGUUGUCCGGAAUUAUUGGGCGUAAAGGGCUUGUAGGCGGUUGGUCGCGUCUGCCGUGAAAUUCUCUGGCUUAACUGGGGGCGUGCGGUGGGUACGGGCUGGCUUGAGUGCGGUAGGGGAGACUGGAACUCCUGGUGUAGCGGUGGAAUGCGCAGAUAUCAGGAAGAACACCGGUGGCGAAGGCGGGUCUCUGGGCCGUUACUGACGCUGAGGAGCGAAAGCGUGGGGAGCGAACAGGAUUAGAUACCCUGGUAGUCCACGCUGUAAACGUUGG
rnacentral:rRNA from 1 species